CCUACGGGCGGCAGCAGUAGGGAAUAUUGCACAAUGAGGGAAACCCUGAUGCAGCGACGCCGCGUGAGUGAAGAAGUAUCUCGGUACGUAAAGCUCUAUCAGCAGGGAAGAAAAUGACGGUACCUGACUAAUAAGCCCCGGCUAACUACGUGCCAGCAGCCGCGGUAAUACGUAGGGGGCAAGCGUUAUCCGGAUUUACUGGGUGGAAAGGGAGCGUAGACGGCAGCACAAGUCUGGAGUGAAAUCCCGGGGCUUAACCCCGGAACCGCUUUGGAAACUGGGCGGCUGGAGUGCAGGAGGGGUAAGCGGAAUUCCUAGUGUAGCGGUGAAAUGCGUAGAUAUUAGGAGGAACACCGGUGGCGAAGGCGGCUUACUGGACUGUAACUGACGUUGAGGCUCGAAAGCGUGGGGAGCAAACAGGAUUAGAUACCCCAGUAGUC
rnacentral:rRNA from 1 species